UUGAACAUGGAAACUUGCUUUGCUUCGAGAAACCAGUGAAUGAAAUAUUAAGAUAUGCAGCCAUGCAUGGAAGGUAAGCAAGUUGUUAGGAGAAGCAGAGCAAACCGUUUCUCCUAGCAAUUUAAUUUCCUCUGGAUGGGAAGGAACUUCAUUCUACUAACCUGGCAUUCAAGCCACCAGCAAAUUCAACGACAACUGAAGAUCAAGGAGCUUUCUAAGACUGGGAAGAUAGUCGCAUCCAAAUCAGGCUGAACCUCAAUCUCCAAGCCCAGUUUCAUAUUUCCCAACAGUGCCACUGUCUUGUCUGGAUUUAACUUCAACUUGUU